rnacentral:rRNA from 1 species
UACAUGGGGUGCAAACGUUGCUCGGAAUUACUGGGCGUAAAGCGUGUGUAGGCGGCCAUGUAAGUCGGAUGUGAAAGCCCCGGGCUUAACCCGGGAAGUGCACUCGAUACUGCGUGGCUUGAGUAUCGGAGAGGUUGGUGGAAUUCUCGGUGUAGAGGUGAAAUUCGUAGAUAUCGAGAGGAACACCGGUGGCGAAGGCGGCCAACUGGACGAAUACUGACGCUGAGACACGAAAGCGUGGGGAGCAAACAGG